rnacentral:lncRNA from 1 species
GCUGAGAACAAGCCUACUGAUAGAAGAAGUAUUUGUAUUCAAAAUAUAGACUAAAUCCCUGUGUUCUCUAAGUAGCUGGCUAGUUGGUAUUUGUUUCAAAAAAAGGUUUUGCUCUUGGGAGCUGAAUUUGACUCUGGCAGCUGGCAGAUCUCUGUCUCUUUCUCUUUUUUUCCUAGAGUGAAAGCUGUAUGGACCUGAAGUUUUUUUCCUAUCCAAAUGACUUUAUGUUUGAAGACUUCAAUUUUUCAGUGACCUCAUCAUUGCCUAUGGAUUCAAUCUUUAUGGAUCAUCUUUAUGGCACUAGUGGAAAUUAAUAUGUGAGAAAUAUAGAAUAAUGACACAAGGAAUGGUUACUGAGUUUAAGUUAAACAGAGUCUCUGAGGAUCUGAUCACUAUGUAGUUAAUAGCUCAGAUGCCCAGUCUGGUCUCUUUACUUGAACAACUAACUCUUCCAUGUAUCUGAAGAAAGACAAGAUUGAUACAAAUCUACUUCAUUGCAGAUCCCUUGUGGAUGGGUUCCAUAGAACAAUGGUCUUUGAGAUGAAGUCUUUAAAACUCCUGGAGGAUUCCCUACAAUUUUCUCUAAGGUCUAUGAUCAUUUCCAUUUUUUUUAUUACUUCUUACAUGCAAGUCACAAUUGGUGAUAUGCUACAAAUGGCUUAUUUUUAAGAUGCAUCUUUUCAUUGUUCUUUGGGUCACCUGCAGUUAGAUUAUGAUGUUCCAUUUUACAAUAAUUUCUGAGGUAAGUUUUUUGGCAGGGAGAUGAAGGCUAUUAUCAAAAGUGCUUCAAUCCAGAGCCACGUUCAUUUUCCAUUUGAAGUCCUUGUCCAAUCAAAUGUAUGUC